AGAGUUUGAUCCUGGCUCAGAACGAACGCUGGCGGUAUGCUUAACACAUGCAAGUCGAACGAGAAAACCUCUUCGGUGGCAAGUAAAGUGGCGCACGGGUGAGUAACGCGUAGAUAAUCUGCCCUUCAGCCUGGGACAACUUCUCGAAAGGGGAGCUAAUACCGGAUAAUACAUAUAGUCGAGUGGCUUAAUGUUGAAAGAUUUAUCACUGAAGGAUGAGUCUGCGUACCAUUAGCUUGUUGGUGGGGUAAAGGCCUACCAAGGCGACGAUGGUUAGCGGGUCUGAGAGGAUGAUCCGUCACACUGGAACUGAGACACGGUCCAGACUCCUACGGGAGGCAGCAGUGGGGAAUUUUGCGCAAUGGGCGAAAGCCUGACGCAGCAAUACCGCGUGAGUGGAGAAGGCCUNUGGGUCGUAAAGCUCUUUUCUGAAGGAAGAUNGGACG
rnacentral:rRNA from 1 species